rnacentral:misc_RNA from 1 species
ACUGGCUUAAGUUGGCAAAAAAGAACUAAGAUAGGGCUAGGAUGAAUAGCUAAUCUUGUACCAGUUUAACCUAUCCUCUUUUCAGCAGCACUCUUUUUCUUUCUGCUUUUGAGAAUUGAAAUAAAACUUGUUGGAUAUUUUGUAUUAAGAAACUACUGAUCAAGUUCAACCUUUAUCAGAUUAUGAAGGGGUCAAGAAGUUCAUGCAAAACAGUUGUAGGUGUUACUUUUUCAUCUUUGAUUGGGUUCAGGCUUUUUACCUGCUUGUUGCUAUAUAUGUUCAGGUAUCCCCAUGCCCUGUGUGGACAACACCAGCUCUCCUGUGUGUAAGAACCCGGUCACACGCAUACAGAACUUUCUCACCACCAUGCAUGACUAUGGCUGCCAUAUCCUGGGCAAUGCUGGACAGUGCCUUGGGUACGAGUUUUACGCCAUUCCUAACCUUCCUCAGUCCAUCCUGUCCACCGUGUUCACCAAUCUAGACUAUCUACCUGACUACAGAAUCAAACCAUUUAUAAGGGUUAUACUCAAGCCUUUCAUUGUGAAUUGUCCCAAAGAUCUCUACUCAGUAGCUGUGAUACCGUUGUUGGAAUUUGUUUGUCCCUACUUCUAUCAGAAAUUAAAUUCAAAAUGGCAGCAGAUUAACCAAAGAUUGAGGUAAAAUAUUGAAGACCUCCCAUGAAAUUAUAAGUGAGAUAAACAUUUAAUAGUCUUAUUAUCAGUUACAGUAUUUCCAACUGUGAAAAUUUGUCAACUGAUGUGUGCACAAAAUCCAAGCAAAACCUUUGUGCAUACCUUAGAAUAUAUUGGUAUUUUUCUGGGACCCGUUAAUAGUUUUGAAAACAAUCUUUUGCAUAAAAAAAAAUCACCAUUAUCUAUUUCUUGUCCAAUUUGUAAUUGUUCACAUAAUUUGUGAAGAAAACGAGAAUAUUCUUUUUAAAAGCUAUAAGUAAUUUUGAUCUACUAAAAUGGUUUUAUCCAUAUGAUGUUUUUGUCAUGCAUGUACAUGUACUUAAUCCAGUGAAGAUGGUGUAGAGGACAACAUGGAAGCUCAGGAAAUCCUGGAAGAUCAGCUAGCCAGGCAGUUAACCAGGGAAUAUAUUGACUUGUUGGGUAAGUCAAAGAUAAGAGGUUGGGUAAGUCAAAGAUAAAUCUAGACUUGCUGAAGAUCAGCUAGCCAGUCAAUUAACCAGGAAAUACAUUAAUUUGUUGGGUAAUUUAAGUCAGAGAUAAGAAUAGACUUGCUUAAGAUGGGCUAGCCAGACAGUUAACUUGGAAAAACAUUGACUUUUUGGGUUAGCCAGUGCUCAGUUUUGACGAUGAUCAUCUACAUGUAGCCUUACUGUUAACCAGGGAAUAUAUAUUGCUAUUUGCCUUAGUUGAAUUGUAUUUUCCAGGAAUCAUAUUUCACAAGUUAAAACAAGACCCUGUCCCUGAUGAUGUGAAGAUGGAUGAUGCGGAGAACAUUCCUGUGACACAGAAAGAGGAAGCCAUGACAGAUCUAGGACAGCUGUGUAUGAGGUGUGAGAGUGUGUAUCCUUCUGUAAUGAUGUGUGUGUUUGGGGCUCUAUCAUGGAGGGACACCAUAGCCUGCAAUAAAUCAGUCCCUCUGUGCUGGUCCACAGUCAGACAAUUGGUAAGCACUGGUCACAUGACUCUGGACAUAGCCAGUAACUUCCUGUGUAAUGUGAUCUAUGGACUACAGAUGCAUGGACAGCAUGAAGGGCCACUGGCUCUCUUACUGGGACUGAUCACCCAAAUGUAUGAACUGCUGAGACCUGCAUUUCCUGAUCUGUCCAAUGUUCUUCUCCAAGUUCCAAACUGUACCACCUCAGAUAUAAAGGAUCUAGAUGCUAAAGUUCUUCAGACAGCCUCACAAAAACAAAUCAUGAAUGACAAAAAGCGACGAGAGGCAUUCAAAAAGAUCUUAUCUGAUGUAAUAGGGAAAAAUCUGGGACAGCAGUUUAAAAAGGAGUCCCAGUACAAAGACUUACCUCCGAUAUUUAGAAUCAGACCUCCAAAAUCUACCAGUGUCUUAGAGCAGAGGGAAGGAGCUAGCGGGCUAUGUGAACUUUUUAAUCCGACGGAUGACUGAUGGACAUUUUUUGUGCUGACUUCAAUGUUAAAGUGUGUAGGUCAUGUUCGUUUACAUGUACAUCCAGUAGUUGAGGGGGAAAACAAAGAAAAUAAUACUGCUGUGAGGUAUUUCCAAUCCUAUGGAUAAACUUAGAAGUUGAUUGAAAAUGUGCUGUCUGAAAUUUUGAUUCUGUUGAUGAAUAUUGUAUGAUUGCAAAGCAAUCUAAUCCACUUUUGGGAUCUGGGGAUUAUGUAGUUGAAACUAUUUGGUGCAAGUUUUGUUAAUUCUUUUCAUCAUUGGAUACCAAAAGAAUGUUGGCUCAAUGAACUCUCCAAUCUGUGGUACAUACAUAUUUGUGGUAUGAAUUCUGUGAGUCCUCAGAUAGGGGGGGGGGGGGGGGGGGGGGGGGGGGGGGGGGGGGGGGCUCUCAUAUCCAUGGGAUGUUAGCUACACUAAUGAAUUCUAUGGAUGUGUGCCUUUAAAGCUCAUCAGUUGAGCACAAUGGAUGCAAGUUUAGUUUUAUGAACAUAGCUAUGCAUCUUAUGUAAACUCUGUAUUCCAUUGGAUAAGAAAAGUUGUGAGUACAUGGAUGUGGAUCAUACGAACUGCCAACGAUACUUAGAUACGUUGUUUAAAGUUCUCAAAUCAUUGAAUAUGUGGUUGAGAGUUUCUAUGUAUCUGUAUACAAAUGCAUAAUAGAUGUGUAUGACUGACUUUGUUUACAGUGUCUUUGAAUAAGAUAUUAAAUCUAAUUUAAUGCAUAUUAAAAUAAUGAAAUAUGCC